GACGAACGCUGGCGGCGUGCUUAAUACAUGCAAGUCGAGCGAACAGACGAGGAGUUUGUUCCUUUGACGUGAGCGGCGGACGGGUGAGUAACAUGUGGAUAAUCCACCUAUAAGACUGGGAUAACUUCGGGAAACCGGCGAUAAUACCGGAUAAUAUAUUGAACCGCAUGGUGCAAUAGUGAAAGACGGUUUUGCUGUCACUUAUAGCUGGAUCCGGGCCGCUUUAGCUGGUUGGUACGGUAACGGCUUAUCAAGGCAACGAGGCGUAGCCGACCUGAGAGGAGGGUCGGCGACACGGGAGCUGGGACGCGGUCCUGGCUCCUGCGAGAGGCAGCAGUAGGGAAUCUUCCGCAGUGGGCGAAAACCUGGCGGAACAGCGCGGCGUGUGUGGUAGAAGUCUUCGGAUCGUGAUGCUCUGUUAUUGGGGGUAAACAGAUGUGUAAGUUGCUGUGCACGUCUUGACGGUACCUGGUCAAGAAGCCACGGCUAACUACGUG
rnacentral:rRNA from 1 species